rnacentral:rRNA from 1 species
UCAGAAGUGCGAAUGCUGACAUAAGUAACGAUAAAGCGGGUGAAAAGCCCGCUCGCCGGAAGACCAAGGGUUCCUGUCCAACGUUAAUCGGGGCAGGGUGAGUCGACCCCUAAGGCGAGGCCGAAAGGCGUAGUCGAUGGGAAACAGGUUAAUAUUCCCGUACUUGGUGUUACUGCGAAGGGGGGACGGAGAAGGCUAUGUUGGCCGGGCGACGGUUGUCCCGGUUUAAGCGUGUAGGCUGGUUUUCCAGGCAAAUCCGGAAAAUCAAGGCUGAGGCGUGACGACGAGGCACUACGGUGCUGAAGCAACAAAUGCCCUGCUUCCAGGAAAAGCCUCUAAGCAUCAGGUAACAUCAAAUCGUACCCCAAACCGACACAGGUGGUCAGGUAGAGAAUACCAAGGCGCUUGAGAGAACUCGGGUGAAGGAACUAGGCAAAAUGGUGCCGUAACUUCGGGAGAAGGCACGCUGACACGUAGGUGAAGUGAUUUACUCAUGGAGCUGAAGUCAGUCGAAGAUACCAGCUGGCUGCAACUGUUUAUUAAAAACACAGCACUGUGCAAACACGAAAGUGGACGUAUACGGUGUGACGCCUGCCCGGUGCCGGAAGGUUAAUUGAUGGGGUCAGCGCAAGCGAAGCUCCUGAUCGAAGCCCCGGUAAACGGCGGCCGUAACUAUAACGGUCCUAAGGUAGCGAAAUUCCUUGUCGGGUAAGUUCCGACCUGCACGAAUGGCGUAAUGAUGGCCAGGCUGUCUCCACCCGAGACUCAGUGAAAUUGAACUCGCUGUGAAGAUGCAGUGUACCCGCGGCAAGACGGAAAGACCCCGUGAACCUUUACUAUAGCUUGACACUGAACAUUGAGCCUUGAUGUGUAGGAUAGGUGGGAGGCUUUGAAGUGUGGACGCCAGUCUGCAUGGAGCCGACCUUGAAAUACCACCCUUUAAUGUUUGAUGUUCUAACGUGGACCCGUAAUCCGGGUUGCGGACAGUGUCUGGUGGGUAGUUUGACUGGGGCGGUCUCCUCCUAAAGAGUAACGGAGGAGCACGAAGGUUGGCUAAUCCUGGUCGGACAUCAGGAGGUUAGUGCAAUGGCAUAAGCCAGCUUGACUGCGAGCGUGACGGCGCGAGCAGGUGCGAAAGCAGGUCAUAGUGAUCCGGUGGUUCUGAAUGGAAGGGCCAUCGCUCAACGGAUAAAAGGUACUCCGGGGAUAACAGGCUGAUACCGCCCAAGAGUUCAUAUCGACGGCGGUGUUUGGCACCUCGAUGUCGGCUCAUCACAUCCUGGGGCUGAAGUAGGUCCCAAGGGUAUGGCUGUUCGCCAUUUAAAGUGGUACGCGAGCUGGGUUUAGAACGUCGUGAGACAGUUCGGUCCCUAUCUGCCGUGGGCGCUGGAGAACUGAGGGGGGCUGCUCCUAGUACGAGAGGACCGGAGUGGACGCAUCACUGGUGUUCGGGUUGUCAUGCCAAUGGCACUGCCCGGUAGCUAAAUGCGGAAGAGAUAAGUGCUGAAAGCAUCUAAGCACGAAACUUGCCCCGAGAUGAGUUCUCCCUGAGACUU